rnacentral:rRNA from 5 species
UGGCGGCCAUAGCGCCGUGGAACCACCUGAUCCCAUGCCGAACUCAGAAGUGAAACGCGGUAGCGCCGAUGGUAGUGUGGCAUUCGCCAUGCGAGAGUAGGACACUGCC